UUGCAUUCCCAAAACAGAGCACUGAAACACUGACUAUACUUGGUUUUCUUUUCUUUCAAUACAGGUAAAAUUCCUGGGCACAGUAGUUUAUGUGAACACAGUGAAAAUAUCUUACGUUGUUGUUUUGGAGUCUACAUGUUGUAGUUGGUGAUGACCAUGAAUCCUGCUGAAGGUGAGGAAGAAAUUACAACUAUUAGAGAGGAGCUCAACAAGCAUUAUGAUCUCCUAAGAACAUUAGGCCAAGGGACUUUCGCUGAAGUCAAGUUGGCCAAGCAUAAAAUAAGUAAAAAGAUAGUGGCAAUCAAGAUUAUAAAUAAAGUAGAAAACUCUGACCACCCUUGUUCUGAAGCCCUAAUAUUAAGAAACCUGAAUCAUCCACAUAUUGUCAAACUAUACCAUGUUAUUGAAAGCCCUAUGACAACUUGUUUGGUGCUUGAGUAUGCUACCAAAGGUGACCUCCUUGAAUAUGUUAUGGAGUACAAAUGUCUGAAGGAAGAGGAGGCCUGCAGGAUAUUCCACCAGCUUGCAGAUGCUGUAGAAUUUUGUCACAAAAAUCACGUUGUACAUCGUGAUCUCAAACCAGAAAAUAUACUAAUUGAUAAUGACUAUAACAUUAAACUGAGUGAUUUUGGCCUCAGUGCCUUUUUUUCAGAUGAGAAACAACUCGAAUUAUAUUGUGGUACAUUGCCAUUUAUGGCCCCAGAAAUUAUACGGUGCCAACCUUACCACGGCCCAGAAGUAGACAUUUGGAGUCUUGGUAUAAUUCUGUUUUUCAUGGUCACAGGUUCAGUUCCGUUUCCAUCAGAGAAUUUUGCAGAGCUGGAAGGACAGUUUCUUCAGCUAAAGAAAGUCAUGCCAGCUUACAUCUCACCAGAAUUGUAUUCUCUCAUAUGUGACAUAUUAAAAAUUGAUCCUCUAGAAAGACCUCUAAUAACACACCUCAAGAGGCACACAUGGCUAAAGAACUCACCACCGGGUUGCAUAAGAAAUAAGCGCAAGGCUUCUUAUGCUCGUGUUACGAAAGUUAUGUGUGCGAUGGGGUUCAGCCUACGUGACAUCAGGGAGAGUCUACUGUAUGACCAGUACGACAGCACAAUGGCAGCAUACCUCUUAUUAGAAGAAAUGUCACCUGAAGAUGCUGUCAAUGCCAUACAGACCAAAGCACAAGACCAAGGAGAUACAACUUGCAAGCUCCCCAUCAUUUCAUCAGUAAUACAGAGAGACAGGGAGCCUUGUGGGCACAGUAUCACCCCGCCCUUGCAAAAUUGUGUGUCUAAGGAUGAGGCCAGCUCAUCAGAGGAGAGCAUGAGCAAGGCCUCAACAGCACCUCCAACUCGCCCUCGCUAUAGGCGGCUGAUGAGCUCAUCUGCUUGGAACCCAUCAGACCCACCUGGUGCUGGCUCUGUGCCAGUCUGCACAAAUGCAAGUGGGAGGCACUAUGGGCAGCCAAUGAGCUCAUCCCCUGGGAGCCCAUUGGCCAAGCCUGGUACUGACCUUGUGCCAGUCUGCAUGAGUGGAAGCGGGAGGCAAAUAUACAUUAGGGACUUGUUCCUUGCCCAGAGUUCUCCAGACACUCUAGUAGAUUGGAAUUCCAAAGCUGCCUGCUUCACAGGCACAAGUGCUAACUCCCAGGGGCUUGUUGGAAGAGCUUCCACUGCCAACAAUGAAUCAAAGCACAGCCUAUCCCCAUACUCUCAAGUGGUGUUAGUUAACUUAACUCGUUGGUGCUACCCAGUUUCAGCAGAGGUCACCAACAAUCUAAGAAAAGUCAACAAAUCUGUCCAAGUUUCGGUGGUGAAAAACUCCCUGGCACCAUCAAAUUCUCAAUUCACUACCAGAGAUACUUGUCAAAGCACUCAAACUUAUUCACCAACCCACUCAUCAGUACUGGAGGACAACCUCAGUGGUCAGCCCCAAGUUGCACCAACCAUCAAGCACAACACAGAAGUCAUCAACCCCAUUGAAGACUCCAAGAAAAAAAAUACCUCCUUGAGACAGUCAUGUCCCAAAUUUGCUACCAUGAUUGCUGGUCACAGCACCAAAUACUACUCAUCCUACCGGUCCUCACUACCUGAAAAUGAUGAAAGUGGUCAGCCCCAAGUUGUACCAAUCACCAACCAUGACUCAGGGGACAUUGUUCCUACUGAAGAUUCCAUAAAGCAAAACACCCUUUCCACACAAGGCAGCAACGAAACUGCCAUUGAGAAGUGUAACAUAAAUCACGAACAGACCAAAGAUUCUAAAAAGAGAAGUCAUCAAAGUAUCCUAAGGAGGAUUUUAUCCUGCCUCCGCAGAUUGUGUUGCUGUUGCCUGGGGACCAAAGCCAAAUGCCCUAAAGUUGGAAAGAAAAUUGCUCCUCAGAGUUGUCAUCACUCAGAGGGUUGAUUGAGAGGAUGUCAGCUCCAAGGAUGAUGACACCAUGGGCCAUAUGUACAAAUACCAGGAGGAAGAAAUGAGGUAUUGUUUUUAUAACUGAGGACUCAGCAUGCCUGAACCAGGGACCACAUCUAUUUCAGCAGACUGACUUGCCUGUGACUCCAGAAUGGAUCUCCUCCAACGAUAGACCUCCGACCACUGGAUAGCAUACUUGUAACACUGGACACAUCUGCUACAUCAUCUUGCCACUCAGAAUAGUUUGAGACUUAAACUGGCUAUCCUGAACAAGACAACAGCUUUCUUGCAACAUCAGAACGACCAGCCAAACAAGUUGUAUGUAUGCCACCCGUGGUGCAGCUGUCCUUCAGUGCCCUCCUGCCACCCCAUACGUGGGAUUCCUGACUAUAUUUAGGAUCUCUAGCUACAUCAUUGUGAGCCUCCUACAAUGUCCAGCAGCCUUGUCCAAUCUCUAGCAACUGCAUACUGGGUCUCCAGCAACCUCAGAUCAACCAGCUCAUCAAGCUAUGUGCCAUCCAUCAAACUCCAGUAACUGCAUACUGGGUUUCCAGCAACCUCAGACCAACCAGCCCAUCAAGCUAUGUGUCAUCCAUCAAACUACCUUUCAUCAAUUUGUACUUUU